rnacentral:rRNA from 1 species
UACGAAGGGGGCUAGCGUUGUUCGGAAUCACUGGUCGUAAAGCGCACGCAGGCGGAUCGAUAAGUCGGGGGUGAAAGCCCGGGGCUCAACCUCGGAAUUGCCUUCGAUACUGUCGGUCUCGAGUCCGGGAGAGGUGAGUUGAAUUCCUAGUGUAGAGGUGAAAUUCGUAGAUAUUAGGAAGAACACCAGUGGCGAAGGCGGCUCACUGGCCCGGUACUGACGCUCAGGUGAGAAAGCGUGGGGAGCAAACAGG